AGUGGGAACCUCUAGGGCGCCGCCCUGUUGCUACUGGUCAAUGUGGCCAGCGCAAUUACUAUUGAAAGAGCUGAGAACACGUACAGGUCACCUUAUGCUUUGUCACCUAAAAACGCAUACCUGAUGGCUUUAUGAAGGUGGUACGUUAAUAUUAAGUUUACAGAAAGCGAUCGCUAAGUCCGUGACUUAUGUAAAUCACGAUGUACGCAUUCAUGCAAUAAAGGAUGACGCGAAUUUCGGUUUCGAAUCUGUUUUUUGGAUGCGUAGUAGUUUCGUUUGACAUGCGAUCGCGCGUCGACAUCGGACGCUAUGACACACUCGUGCCUUAUGUGCCACCGAAGCCCCGAAGUGGUCUGGCAUAUACCUUCACAUGUUUCCCUUCAGUAGGAAAUUGCUGGACAGGCGGACCAGCGCACCGGAAUUGUAUUGGCGAAGCCACAAGCAACUCAAAGAAUCUGUUUAAUUGUUGCACGUUGAACAAUCAUGAUUCUACAAAGGCCACAGCAGAAAAACAGCCUGAUGACCGAGUAUUUCUGUGCCACGAAGUAAUCAAGAGGCGAGUGCCUAAUGCGGACGAAAUAGAGUGCAUCGAGACUUAGAACGACAGAAAGCUGAGCUAAUUCGUAAGGAUUCAUUAUGCAAAACAGAGGUGAGGCGUGCAGACAGGACACAAGAGUAGAGAAGUGGGCGGCGCGCGUGUUGUUUGCUUGUAAAUACUCUACUCUUGUUUCCUGUCUGCACGCCUCACCUCCGUUUUGCAUAACGAGUGCAUCAAGCCACAUAUUAAUAGCUUAGGCGUUUUAUUAACUGUGCAAUAUUUUCAACACUUCCUUGCAUGCCAUUUCAUGUGGCAUAUCUUUUCUGGUCACAAAUUUGUGCAGCGAAUCUAUUUGCAUGAUCGACUCCGGGCCUGUGGGACCGUUCACUUGCACUUGAUGCUGAGUCUUUUACAUGUACCCAGAAACUGCAGAUAUGCACAUCAGAUCCCUGCGAGCACUUUCAAAAUUCAAUUAUUUUCGACAACAGGCACAUAUGCAAUACUGACAUAAUCCGGAAUACCACUAAGCAGCUGGGACACAUUUUUGUUGACCAUACUCGCAGGUAAAAUAAGUACAUCAUGUGGACAGCUCCAGCUCAUUUUCCUUAAGUCAGUGUGUACAAGGGUUAUGCAAAAAUAAUUUUUUUCUCGCGCACCGAUUAUUUUGCUUUAUAAGCAAGAGAACCCACCACGUUAGUGUAACGUAUCUUGUGCAUCACACUAAUAUGUGCUUUCAUUUACCAAGUGAGAUGAGUUACUUUUAUGGCUCAUUCAGUCAUAUCACACUGCAAGCUGCAUUCAUCAAUCUUCAAUGGGAUUUUGCAAAUGUUUAAUGAAACAUGUUUCCCUUUUAUGCAGAUAUGCAAUGGCAAGCCCUUCCGUGUGUUCCAAAGGUAAAAUUUAAGCUCUAAAUUAAAGAAGACAUUUCUAGUCAGAAACAAGCAAAAAUAGUGAAUGCAGAGCAUCAGAAGCCCAAGGUACAGAAAUUAUGAGAAGUGUCGAAUGAUUUUAAGGAAAGAGUCGUAUUUAAAAAUGCAAGACCCUUUAGUGGAGGUCAAGCAAGUCAAUAUAGGUAGAAUACUCUGCAAAAUUAUGCGAGUGAGGGGAUGUCAAACAAUGGGUCAGGAAAUGCAUUGUUUUUCUGCAAAACAAAAGCUGAUUGCCAUUACAUAAGUCACUUUAGCAUCAUGAUAAAUUCAGAAAUAAACCAAAAAACAAGACACGCAAAAAUAAACAAAACAUUUAAUGAUAUUUCAGCAGAACUUUUUGUUGGGCUAGUUGGUGCAUAUUACUGAAGUACUAUAGCGCCAAACAGACGACACAAGAAGAAGAGACACGGACAUAAGCGCUCGUCCGUGUCUCUUCUUGUGUCGUCUGUUAGGCGCUAUAGUACUUCAGCCAUUUAAUGAUGCUCUCUCCACACUGGGAUAAAUAAAAACAAACACAUCACAUCUAAUGUGGACAUAUCAGAUGCCUUGUGAAACAUAAAGGAACAAUUCAGUUUUGAGCUAUGGCACUUGCCGCAUAGAUGUGGGGGGGCCUUGCACCAAUAGUGAUAGUUACCACUGCAUUUAGAAAUUGAAAGCAUUCGUGCAGACAAAGAUGAUUCUUUAUAUUUUUGGCUACCACUUCAAAUGCCUCCACCAAGUGUUACAAUGCUGCACGCAGCCAUACUAAGGAUCUCGCAACAACACCUGCAGGUAAAAAGCAGAAGCAGUCAAAGUGCUGGUGUGUUCUGGACACUAUGUUUGAAAACUUUUAGGCAAGAAGAGUGCAAGAAGCAGACAUAACUGCAUUUAUUUCCAUAAUUCCCCCUUUAAAUGGCCUUUUCUUUUUGCUUAGACAAUGCCUACGCCUAGCCACAGCAGCUCCCUCAUACAGACUCCGCAAACCAAGAGGCCGUGGAGGCAAAUGCAGGCAGCCAGCACACCUCGAACAGCCACCUUGACUGCGGGUGUGUCACCCUAGUCGCCAAGGAAACAUUUGAGGGAAAGUGACAGGCAAUGUGAACAGCCACUCCUCCAUGUAAACAAUACUCUUUCUCUCGGAUGACUCCUACGCCUCACCACGCCAGCACACUUGUGCACAAAGAUGCCGCAGAGGCACGUGCAGGUCAGAGGCAAGAAGCAGUGGCACUGGUGUCGACAUUUACCCAAUUUCUUUUUCUUACACUGAGGCAGCCAGCACACCUCGAACAGCCACCUCGACUGCGGGUGUGUUAGUUGAUCCCUGUUGUACAUGUGCUCAUAAUAAACUUCAGUAAACUUGAACUUCAUAAUAAACGUGAAGGCAAAUGGUACAUUGA